UACCUGGUUUGAUUCUGCCAGUAAGUCAUAUGCUUGUUCUCAAAGAUUAAGCCAUGCAUGUCUAAGUAUAAGCAAUUAUACCGUGAAACUGCGAAUGGCUCAUUAAAUCAGUUAUCGUUUAUUUGAUAGUACCUUACUACUUGGAUAACCGUGGUAAUUCUAGAGCUAAUACAUGCUGAAAACCCCAACUUCGGGAGGGGUGUAUUUAUUAGAUAAAAAACCAACGCCCUUCGGGGCUUCUUGGUGAUUCAUGAUAACUUUACGGAUCGCAUGGUCUUGCGCCGGCGACAGUUCAUUCAAAUUUCUGCCCUAUCAACUUUCGAUGGUAAGGUAUGGCUUACAUGGUUCACGGGUACGGGCACUAUGCUCGAUCUGAGAGGGAGCUGAGAACGCUACUACAUCCAGAGCAGCAGCGCGCAAUACUCUAUCUCGACACGGGAGGUAGUGACAUAAUA
rnacentral:ncRNA from 1 species